rnacentral:rRNA from 1 species
CCGGCGACGAGUGGCGGACGGGUGAGUAAUGCUUGGGAAUUUGCCUAGUAGUGGGGGACAACACGGGGAAACUCGUGCUAAUACCGCAUACGCCCUACGGGGGAAAGCGGGGGAUCUUCGGACCUUGCACUAUUGGAUGAGCCUAUGUCUGAUUAGCUUGUUGGUGGGGUAAAAGCCUACCAAGGCGACGAUCCAUAACUGGUCUGAGAGGAUGAUCAGUCACACUGGAACUGAGACACGGUCCAGACUCC